GGAGCUAACGUUAGCUAGCUCGAGCUCAAGUUAGCUAGCUAACAGCAUAGCAAGUUAAGUUAACAUAAAUAAAGUCAAUCACAGAUUACAGUGUUAAGAUGUAACGUUAGUAACCUAACUUGUGUUUACUUGUGCUCUUAUUGAACCGUUGGAAUGCAAACGGGACGAUUAUCAAAAGGGAGAGCGGACCAGAAAUCACCGACGUGUUCAAGACGAUGAACAGUUGAGUCACUCAUCAUCAGAGAUUGAGGAUGCCAGCCAGACGCUGCAGUCAAGUCCUCUUUCAAGAUGUUCUCUUUCUUUAUUGUUUUCAUUCAUGUGUGAGUUCAUGCUGUUCAAAAUAACUAUAAAUGUGUAUAAGACUUGUCAACAAGCUAGACUGUGAAGCAGUUAUAUUACACUGUUCUUGAUGCUAUUUUAAUUCUGUGUUACACUGUUGAUGCUAAUGAGUUCAGUUAUGCUGUUCAUUAGCGAUUUUAUUGGUUUAUUAGUUUGCUUCUAAACAUGCAGUACAUUGUGACUUUUGUGAUGUAAUACAAAUGUCCAUUUAUUAUUUGAGAACAUAUAACACAUAAACUGCAACAAUUAUG